rfam:Oxytricha trifallax strain JRB310 Contig8943.0.1 macronuclear, whole genome shotgun sequence.
AUACCUUCUCGGCCUUUUGGCUAAGAUCAAGUGUAGUAUCUGUUCUUAUCAGUGUGAAAACUGAUAACGUCUCUACGGAGGCGCUAUUUUCACAUCAAUUUCUUCGGGGGUAGGACAGUUGGUGUGCUUGCGCAUCACUCUUACAGAGUCGCCUUGGACCUACACUUUUUCCUAUGGUGGCUCACCCGUA